AGAGUUUGAUCAUGGCUCAGGACGAACGCUGGCGGCGUGCCUAACACAUGCAAGUCGAACGGAGCGAACAGACGGAACUCUUCGGAGGGAAGACUGUAAGCUUAGUGGCGGACGGGUGAGUAACGCGUGAGCAACCUGCCCUUCAGAGGGGGACAACAGUUGGAAACGACUGCUAAUACCGCAUAUAAUGCCGAGUGGGCAUCCACAUGGUAUAAAAGGAGAAAUCCGCUGAAGGAUGGGCUCGCG
rnacentral:rRNA from 1 species